CAACUACUCCCUCCGUCCGGAAAUACUCAUCGGAAAGAUGGAUGUAUCUAGACGUAUUUUAGUUCUACAUACAUCCAUUUUUAUUAAUUUCUCCGACAAGUAUUUCCGGACGGAGGGAGUAGUAG
rfam:Triticum aestivum genome assembly, contig: Triticum_aestivum_CS42_TGACv1_scaffold_033767_1BL